rnacentral:piRNA from 1 species
UACAACCAACUCAUUGACUGUGUACCUGC